rnacentral:misc_RNA from 1 species
CAAAAAAAAAAAAAAAAAAUCAUAAGAAACAGAAUGUCAGCACAAGAAAGGGAAGAAAUGGAGAUGCAUGGCAUUGCUGACUUUUGAAGGAUGUCAAAACCACAUGCCAUGCCAGUGGAAGAUUUGAACCAUCAUCUAACGUAUUGGACCCUUUUAACCCGUUCCUUUCACAAUAGUCAACUGGGCAUGAAAUUAGACAUCUGUUAGUUGCUUCUCCAAUAAAAAUUUAAUCUUGACUGCCAUUCCAUGUCUUUGUUCUUCUCACUUUUCUUGGGUCUGCUUCAAUGUCGAAGCUUAGAAGAAAGAAGCUUUAGCGGGUCACUGGCCAACAUCAGUCUUUUUAAUCUCUGUGUCUUUUUCCCUUGAAAAUAAAUGGAUUAUUGUUACGUUUUUGGAUGGUAAUGGAAAGGAAAUGCUUAUGUGUGAGAUAAGAGAGGAUUAGGUGACAGUUUGGAACCACCCAUUAACCAAAAGGCAAUCCUGACAUUUUGAGCAUCACAACCGACAUUUUAGACAAGGAUUUACCGACAUAUGAAUAAUGCAGCAGAAUUGAGCCGACAAAUAAAUGGGGAAGCAUCAAUAUUGAAGCCCCGCAGCCCUUGCUUCUAUGGGCUAAGGAAAUAGAAUUUAAAAUGGGCCGUAAUAAAAUGACUUGUUCACAGGCAGCACAAAUGUGCAGUGUGAAAAUAUGAACACGCUGGACUCGUUGCAUCUCCCAGACACAUACACGUGGUGAGCUUUAGAGUUUGCCAGAUCCAUGGACCUAUAGAUUUUGAGGUUCAUGUGUGAAAACUCUAGCCGUUAUGAGCAGCAAAGCUGCCACCCCUACUAGUCCACAUUGCAUCAUUCAACUUCAUGUGAAGCAAUUUUAUAAAUAAAAAUGCUUAUCAUGAACAAAAAGCAUAAUAAUCCCACCAACCUCAUGUAUCAAAGUCUUUUAAAACAGCUGUUCAGGAAAAAAAAAAUCUAUAGAACAGAAGAUUUCCAACCCAAUUGUGAAAUGCACAGCUAGUGAUUCCUUCAAAAUACAGAAUCAUUUCAAAUUUUUGACUUGAUCAAACACCAAGGUUAAGAUCAUGCCAUUUUUGACUAAAAAAUGCAAUUUUAUAAUAGAAAACAUCCACAUCUACUAUCCCUUCGAGGAAGGAUAAAAUGCUUACAUAAGCACAGACCCAGUGAUGAAGACUCCUUGUCCUUUCAUUUUAUAAAACUUUUGCCAAUACCUCUCUCACACAAGGGUCUUGCUCGGAUCCAAUCAUUUCACAAGCGACCCAGAUUUUCAAUUUUUUAUCCACAGCUUACAGCCAGUUGGUUGACAGAAAAUAAAUUUAACAUGCACAUAUGGAUCUAAAUUGGACAUGUUAUUGGACAUUAAUAGUAUACACAACAUAUAACAUGCCAAUGAACCUAGAAGUCGGGGGAAACAAAGACCCUACUGCUCUAGCAGAGAAGUCCUAUGAUGUACAAAAAUUGGUACAAAAAAUAUAAUAAGCUUCAUCCAGAAUUUCAAACGAGCGAUGCAGGAAACCCACGAACCAAAAUUUGUAUCACCAAAAAUACAAAAGACAACUCCAUCCGCCUAAACUAAACUAUGUGAAAUUAGGACAACAUUCUCAACAAGAAUAUAUAUUGUCACCUCUGAAUCUGGGCUGCAGUAGACUUUUGUUUCCUUAAUCUGUAGAAGUAUCAGCAGCUUUUCGCAUUCUACGCUGGUGAACAUCCCAAUUAUACACUCGAGCCAUAGUAACCUGACAAAUGGGCAAAAAACCUGACAAUUUGUUCUGGGCGAAUAAGAUACAUGAAUCUAACGUUUUGAAGCAUUUUGAGCUUCCUGUGUUAUUGUGACUUGAUCCCUCAAGAAUUGUAAAUCAGCCACAAGAACUUCUAGACUAGCUUUAGCAUUAUUAAAAUUCUUUUGUAGAAGAGCAGUGGCCUCUUCACAUGAAUAUUCCAACAUGACAUUUGCUCCCAGCCACAAACAUACUGAAUCAGCAGCCUCAAUGCAAGCCCGCGAAUAUAUGCCUUCGGAGACUUCAAAAUCAGCAACAAGUGCCUGUAUCAAACAAACAAAGCCAAUGAAAAGAUAACUGCCUUAGCUUUAACAUCUCUCAGAUAAUAAAGGCACUAUCCCAGGAGUUUCUGUGUGAAAGUACAACUACUCAACAGCUAAUAUGAAUAUCUAAGUUAACUCAAAGUCUCUAGUCAUAAAAUUAAUGGCCCAAAGGACCUACCAUCUAACAAAUCUAUGGUAAUUUCUUUGUCAGUCAGCAACAUGUAGCCAACAACAAUUGACUACUUUUUGGCCAUCUAAGCUUUUUGACACAUUAUUUAUAAACUAACCGAAGGAGAAUCUUGGCAUGCCACCAAAUUUUGACGUUGUUGUAAGCAAAUUUGUUGGCAAAUACUAAAUGGAACUAAGUUACUUGUAUUCCUUUUUCAAAUUAUGUGGCAAACAAAGAGAAGCAUUGCUUAGGUCUGGUCUGUCAGGAGAUUUAAGUGUAGGUUUCCUCAGAGAAUGGAAAGUGAUUAGCUGAGGCCAGCCAAUUUGAUGUGACUGACAGGAAGCCAAGCACCUAAAAGAAGGAACCCCAUUGGAGUAACUUGAUCCUUUUUAAUGUAAAAGGAGCUAUUGGUGUCUGACAGGAGGAAGUUACUGUGACAACAGCCCAUUAUUGCUCCAAUUAAAAUACACCAAUCAUGCUAAUAUACAGAUGUUCACAAGGUUAGUCUUCAGAUUCCCAUAUAAAUAUCUCGUUUUCACAUUAAAGCAUGCUAGAAAUAAGACCAUGACAAGAUUUUUUAAGACCAAUAUGAGAUUGCAAGUAAUCCAAGCUAUUAACGGACAUGAGCUGCUUAACUAGGGCCUAUUUAUUGAAUAAGUACGGGAAUACAAGCACACAACUCAACCAGCUGAAGACUUGAUGAAACUAAUGUAUUUAAGAGAAAUCUUUGUAUUUUUCAUAUAUGAAUUCUUUGUACAUGCUCCUAUUUAUAUACAAGAGAUUUAUCCUAAUAAGAAAACUAAAAUAAAUAGGAAAUAAUAGUACAAUAGAAAAAAAUAAUCAAAUAAGAUCCUAAUACUAUGCUACAACAACAAAUCAAGGAUUCCAACACUCCUCCUUAAGUUGGUUCUUGUAUAUUACACAUAAUAAACUUGCAAACUAGAGUAUGAAACAAAUUGCUACCUAAAUCCUUAGUAAACAUGUCAGCCAAUUAUUCUUUUGAGGACACAUGUGAGACACUCAAAAUUCCAUCAACUAUUUUCUCUUUUAUGAAGUGUCGGUCAAUCUCUGUAUGCUUAGUUCGAUCACGUUGGACUGGAUUGUGUACUAUAUUGAUGGCAACCUUAUUAUUACACAAUAAGGAUAAACUAUUGAUACUUGAUAGCUUCAUUUCUUCCAUUAAUUUCUGUAACCAUAAUAGCUCACAGAUGCCCUAUGCCAUAACUCUGUAUUCUGCUUCUGCACUGGAUCUAGCUAUCACAUUUUACUUUUUACUUCUCUAAGUGACUAGAUUACUAUCGAUAAAAGUACAAUAACCUGUUAUAGACCUCCUUUCAUCAAGAGAUCCAGCUCAAUCUGCAUCUGUAAAGACUUUUAUUUGGAGAUGGCCAUGCCUUGUACUCAUUAUACUCCCCUUGAUGAGGUGACUUGACAAGGAAAUAAGAAUCAGAUUCUCGAAAGGUAAUAUUCAUACUAACAAAAUAUUUCAUGGUAAGAGGAUGAUAACAUUUAUAGCUCUUUUAAGUACCAAAACAACUUACAAACACACAUUUAAGAACUUUAGGUUCUAACUUUCCAACAUUUAUUUUGUGGACAAAACAGAGAUAUCCAAAAAUUUUUGAAGGAACAGUAUAAGAAUUAUGGCAUUGUAAAACCUCUAAAGGGCUCUU